UCCUCGGUCAUUAAACAAGGAAGGUGUAGU
rnacentral:piRNA from 1 species